GCAAAGAUAGCUUAAAGAAUAAAGCCAAGCACUGAAAAUGCUUUCAUAUAGGUUAAAUCCCUCUUCUUAGCA
rnacentral:tRNA from 1 species